UACGGAGGGGGCUAGCGUUGUUCGGAAUUACUGGGCGUAAAGCGCACGUAGGCGGCUUUGUAAGUUAGAGGUGAAAGCCUGGGGCUCAACUCCAGAACUGCCUUUAAGACUGCAUCGCUUUGAAUCAUGGAGAGGCGGGUGGAAUUCCGAGUGUAGAGGUGAAAUUCGUAGAUAUUCGGAAGAACACCAGUGGCGAAGGCGGCCCGCUGGACAUGUAUUGACGCUGAGGUGCGAAAGCGUGGGGAGCAAACAGG
rnacentral:rRNA from 1 species